UUUCCUUGUGAUUCUUUAUCUUAUCGGCUUGAUCUUGCCUCUUAUGUUGCCGGCGUCAAUUCUGGUCAAGCAUGGAAUUGAAAAUUAUCGUUGAUGUUGUCUGCUAAAGAACAAAUAGCAUGCGAAGAUCACCUGCUAGACCCUUUUGUUGAGAAUUUCGUACUGGAAAUCAAAGUCCACUUCGGGAUGCAGCAUAUUGAACUUAUGCACAUGUGGUAUGCUCUGGAUUUAGCUGUUCUUGCGGUUGGAGUGAUGAAGGACUAUGACUGGUGAAGUUUCAUGUUUUCCUUUGAAAUAUCAUGAUGGUGAAUGUCAUAAGUUCGCUUUUAAAUAUGGAUGAUCUUUCUCUCAAUUUGGCUCAUUGUGCCUCACCUUGGAGCUAUUCUGAAUCACAUUACACAUGUGCUUCGGAGCAAACUGAUCUGACACGUGAAGAGGGAAACAAAUUAGUUGUAUCUUUCACGAGGAACUACUUGAUAUAUUACAUCACUGUCUUCCUUCAACUAUAAGUUUAUAACUGAACUAGAUCAUGCUCUAAGCGAUGGCAUAAGUAGGGGUGGAAGACAAGCAUUGGAGUGGAGAGCGUCAAUUGCCAAACAUUUCAUUGACGAGUGGGAAUGGCAGUUGUCAAUUUUGCAGCGUCUUCUUCCGUUAUCUGAACGCCAGUGGCAGUGGAAGGAGGCAUUAACUGUAUUACGUCCUCACCAUCUAAGCUACUUAACCUUUAGGUCUUCUGACUGCAGUAAGUGCUUAGAGUGUUAAGUCUAUAUCGAGCUCCUUGGACACUGGAUUGCUGCAGGCACCUGAUGGUGACGGUGGAUCAAGAGACUACGUGAGAUUGAUAGUGAUACUGAGUCAAAAGUUGAUGACAUUGUUGGUAGCAGUAGUGUUUCAACAGCUUUUCCAGACGCCAGGGCAAGAUGGUGCAGCUACUGAACCUUGGGAUGAUUCUUCAAAAUCUGACGUUGCUGAGCUUGACAUUUCAGUUUUCCUUUCUUUUGAUUGGAAAAAUGAAGAACCGUAUGAGAAAGCUGUACAGCGACAUCUCAAAAGGGGAUGAUAGGGAUAACAAUUGUGACACACUGGUUUGUGCCUCUUUCGGAGUCAAAGAAAAAUAAAGAAGCUGCCUUACGGGUUUUAGAUUUUAUGUAUGGAUGGUUUGCGGAGCAGCGGAGCCACUCACAAGUGGUGAAUAUAUCCUCGCCGCAUGCUAGCCAUUCUCAGUAGACGGUUAUCGAAAUUUACUAGAGCUCAAUCGAAGUUGCUAGCUGGGUCCUUGGAUUUUUUUGGAAUAAAUUACUAUGCUAGUUACGAUGCUAGUUACUAUGCAAGCGAUGCACAUAAGAGUAGUUAUCCAAGUUAUACAACAGACUCUCGCGUUACACUUUCAUGUGAGUUACUGAAAACUUAAUCCAAAUUUAGA